rnacentral:rRNA from 1 species
ACACCGGCAGCCCAAGUGGUGGCCAUUUUUAUUGGGCCUAAAGCGUUCGUAGCCGGCCUGAUAAGUCUCUGGUGAAAUCCCGCAGCUUAACUGUGGGAAUUGCUGGAGAUACUAUCAUGACUCGAGGUCGGGAGAGGCUGGAGGUACUCCCAGGGUAGGGGUGAAAUCCUGUAAUCCUGGGAGGACCACCUGUGGCGAAGGCGUCCAGCUGGAACGAACCUGACGGUGAGGGACGAAAGCCAGGGGCGCGAACCGGAUUAGAUACCCGGGUAGUCCUGGCCGUAAACGAUGUGGACUUGGUGUUGGGAUGGCUUCGAGCUGCCCCAGUGCCGAAGGGAAGCUGUUAAGUCCACCGCCUGGGAAGUACGGCCGCAAGGCUGAAACUUAAAUGAAUUGGCGGGG